AUUGAACGCUGGCGGCAGGCCUAACACAUGCAAGUCGAGCGAGCGGCGGACGGGUGAGUAAUGUCUGGGAAACUGCCUGAUGGAUGGGGAUAACUACUGGAAACGGUAGCUAAUACCGCAUACCAUCAGAUGUGCCCAGAUGGGAUUAGCUAGUAGGUGGGGUAACGGCUCACCUAGGCAACGAUCCCUAGCUGGUCUGAGAGGAUGACCAGCCACACUGGAACGUAGACACGGGCCAGACUCCUACGGGAGGCAGCAGUGGGGAAUAUUGCACGAUGGGCGCAAGCCUGAUGCAGCCAUGCCGCGUGUGUGAAGAAGGCCUUCGGGUUGUAAAGCACUUUUGGCAGGAAAGCGGGACCUGCAGAAUAAGCACCGGCUAACUACGUGCCAGCAGCCGCGGUAAUAC
rnacentral:rRNA from 1 species